rnacentral:rRNA from 1 species
AACGAACGCUGGCGGCAUGCCUAUCACAUGCAAGUCGAACGAGAAAUUCGGGUCUGGUGGCGCACGGGUGCGUAACGCGUGGGAACCUGCCCUAAGGGUCGGAAUCACUCCCCGAACGGGGUGCUAAUACCGGUUAUUGUCUUCGGACCCAAGUUUUAUCGCCUUUGGAUGGGCCCGCGUUGGAUUAGCUAGUUGGUAGGGUAAAAGCCUCCCCAGGCGACGAUCCAUAGCUGGUCUGAGAGGAGGAUCCGCCAGGCUGGAGCUGAGACACGGCCCAGACUCCUACGGGAGGCAGCAGUGGGGUAUGGUGGACGAGGGGCGAAAGCCUGAUCCAGCAAUGUCGCGUGUGUGAUGAAGGCCGUAGGGUUGCAAUGCUCUUUGACCCGAGACGAUAAUGACAGUACCGGGAGAAUAAGCUCCGGCUAACUCCGUG